rnacentral:rRNA from 1 species
GACGAACGCUGGCGGCGUGCCUAACACAUGCAAGUCGAGCGGAGCGGCCGACGGGUGAGUAACGCGUGAGUAACUGCCCCCCUCCCUGGGAUAACAGAUGGAAACGGCUACUAAUACCUGAUAGUGGGGGAUGACUCGCGUCCUAUCAGCUUGUUGGUGGGGUAGUGUCCGACCAAGGCGACGAGGGGUAGCCGGCCUGAGAGGGCGACCGGCCACAUUGGGCUGAGAGAGGGCCCAAACGGCAACGGGGGGCAGCAGGGGGGAAUAUUGCGCAAUGGGGGAACCCCUGAGGCAGCGACGCCGCGUGCGUGAUGACGGCCUUCGGGUUGUAAACCGCUUUCGGCCAUGACGCGGUAGUGGCAGAAGAAGCACCGGCUAACUACGUGCCAGCAGCCGCGGUAAUUC